ensembl:lncRNA
ACUGCUUCGUGCACAAGCGGUAGCUCUAAUUACCUCAACAUUAGCGAUUUUCGUCAAAUAUAUCGACUAAUCCAAAAAGAUGAACAUCCUCCCGAGAAAACGCGUUUCUUAUUUACAGCAACUCUAAACAGUGAAGAUCCACGAAACAAAUUCAGAACAGAGAAACGAAGAAACUCACCGAGAAGGAAUAGACUUUCUAAGCUUGGUCUGUCCAGCGCAAAAAACCAAAGCAAAGCUUGUUCUUUAUACAUGGACACUAGCAGGACAAAUGUCAUGAAAGCAGCUGUUGAUUGUGUCUCAUCAGCUCCUGUGAUUCUGGAUCCAAACACUGCAGAUCCAGGUCUGAUGAUCUGAGCAGAAACAGACACUUCCUGGUAAUCCAGAGAGGGUUUUGAGUCAGGAAGGUUAAAAAGACCAACCUCCUUCACUCACACACUCUUUCCUUUCUUCUGGUGAUAUAUGGUUUCCCUUUUGAGGAUCUUAUCAUUAAAGUCAGUAGCUGCAGUUAAUAUCAAGUCACUUAAUUUCAUACACGAUAUGCCCAGAUAUUUUCAGGGUUGUUACAGUCAUGGAAAACCUGGAUAUUGUGAUAUCCAGGCCUGAAGAAACCUAGGAAAUAAAUAAAAACUUAAAAGAAAAAAAAGUGAAAAA